rfam:Schistocephalus solidus strain NST_G2 genome assembly, scaffold: SSLN_contig0003688
GAGCCUGUGGCUCAAUGGUAGAGCGUUCGAUUCAAAUACCAAAGGUCGCGGGUUCAAAUCCCAGGUGUU